rnacentral:lncRNA from 1 species
AUUUUUUCUUACCAUAUAUUUGUAUUGUAUAUUUUUGGAAAAACUUCAAAUACCUCCCUUGUGGUUUUACUUCUUCUUACUUUAGUAUCCUGUGGUUUAAAAUGUAUCUAGUUAGUACCCUGUGGUUUUGUACUUUUUCACUUCAGUACCCUGUGGUUUAAAGUGUAUCAAGUUAGUACCCUGUAGUUUCGCACUUUAUCACUUUAGUAGCAUGUGGUUUAAAAAAUCACAGGAUACUAACUCGAUACAAAAAUAAAACCACAGGAUACUAACUUGAUACAAAAAUAAAAUCACAUAGUACUAACUUGAUACACUUUAAACUAUAGGGUACUAAAGUGAUAAAGUGAGAAACCACAUGGUACUAAGUUGAUACACUUUAAACCAUAGGGUACUAAAAUAAAAAAAGUGUAAAACCACAUGAGGGGUUUUUAAAGUUUUUCCUUUAUUUUUUUUACUGUAGGUGACAGAUUCUUUCUAAAAUCAAAAUGAAAUUGUUGGGGGAAUUCGACUCCUAACAAAAAUCAUGAACCCUUUAAAAAAAUAAAAUUACGAUCAGUUAUAAUAAUAAAAAAGUUUAUAAAAUUAGGUUAGAAUAUUAUUAGUAGUAUUAAGUUAUUGGUGCUAUUAAGUUUUUGGUCAUUGAGUAAGAGAAAUAUGCACUUAAGAUAAUAAUGAUCUCUUAGAGCUUAACGGGUGGUUGUUAGAAUAGUAUAAUAUAAGGGGUGAAAAUAAUCAAAAUGAUAAAUUUAACGGUAAAAAAAUUAAUAAUAUAAGUGCUUGAUGGGAUUGAUAAGCGUUAUUGGAUCUUAAAUUUUUUGGUAGAGCCCGUUUGAUAUUAUUAUAUAAGAAGGAAUUUAAAAAGUAUAUGAUAAUUUAUUUUUUUAUUUUCAAUAAAAUUGCAAAAAUUAAUUAUAAUCAAACAAUUACCAUCAUGCAACUUAAUUAUAAACUUUUUAUUUUUAUUUUUAAUUAUAAAUGACGUAUUUUUUCUGCAAUCAAAAUAGAACUAUAAACUCUUUACAUAUUAUAUAAAUAAAUAAAUAAAUAAAUCUUAUUUAAGUGCAUCCCAUAAUUAAUCCUUAUCUUUCCAUUCCCCAAGCGAAUCGCAUCUAACUCAUCCAACGGUCCGACUUAACAAUAUUCGUAUCUAACUCAUCCAACGGUCCUACUUAACAAACCUAGUUCAAUAUACGUGAAAAUAUAUAUAAUAAUUAUUAUAAUUUAUUUUAAAUCAAUACAAAUUUGUACAUUAUAUAUAUCUAAAAUUUUAUAUUAAAAAUUAUAUUUAUAAAUUAAUAUAUUAUAUUUUAUUAAAAAAUAUUUACAAUAUCAUACAGUGUUAUUUCAAAUCAAUAUAAUUUUGAUCGACUAUAAUAAAAAAAUUAAUUAUUAAUUCAAAUUUGAUAUCAAAAAUUAAAUUUAUUUCAUAAUUUAAACUCCAAAUUUAAUUUAAUAUAAAAUAGAUAAAUAUAUAGAUAAUAUUAUUUUAUUUCUUUUUAAAUUUCGUUUGUUAUUGUCGGAAUUUCUAUACUAGAUAAUAAAUAAUAGAUAUAGGAGUUGAACUAGAAUACUCUCAAAAGCAUCAAAAGGUUGGUGCUUUUGAGUUUUUAGUCCUUGAAUGGAGAAAUGUAAGAUUGAGAUGAUGGUGGUAGGUGGUGGUAGGUGGAAUAGUAUUUGAUCCAAGAAUUAUCAGUAAUGAGUAAGUAGAUCCAAGGCUAAAACCUAAUAACAUAAAGAGGGUGAUGGUUCUAAAAGUAUUCUAACUCAAUUCAUAGAUAUAGAUAUAAAUAUAGAUAUAUUUAUAUAUAAAAUAUUAUAUAUUAAUCCUUUUAUAUAUAUAUAUAUAUAUAUUAUAUAAAACUAGAAACAGAAAAUAAAAGAU